GGACAGAGCAGGCAGCGGUGUGAUUUUCCCAAAGUGUUCGAAGUAUAGCUCCACGCACUCAACGACUACGUAACGCUGCCCAAGUUCAGGAGUCAAGAUGGCUGCCUGUGACGAAAGCCACUUCACCACUGGUUUUUGGAGGGGACUACUUGCCAGCCUUUUACUCUGUGACUAUGGCCCCUGCAAUAGAACUGGCUAAUAUACUUUAAACAGGCUCUGUUUGUGGAAUUAGGACUAUAUGGUUCAUUUAACAAACAACCGCACGAACAGAGACCACCCUGGAGCUUAACAUCUAUUAACAACUUGGAAUGUUUCUCACCGCAGUGUUCUAUUUGUUCGUCUGGGUGGCCGCAAUUACUAUGAACAACCACGAAGUGGCGGCCAUCUUGUUCGCAUGGACGCAGGCAACGGUGUUUGGGCAUGAAUCUCAUGGAACUGAAAUCGGAUACAGAAACUCCCGAACACCGCUGGACUUCCAUCAUCACCUGUGUUUAUUUCUAUUCAGCUUAGAAGGGCACUGUUCUGUCAGAUUAUUCGUCUGGAUGAAGGAAACAAGCUCCAGGGUAAGACUAUUGACUGUUCGGUAGUUUGUUCGUUUGCAAACUACCGAACUAGACCAGCCGCACAGCCUAAU